rnacentral:lncRNA from 1 species
GGAGGGGUCCCACUCGACCGUCCAGCCUGGCGGGAGCUGGGGCGGCCAAGCACCAACCAGAGAGGGGUCGGAUGCAGCAACUUCACCUGAAAACAGAAGCCACAACAAGGCUGAGCUACUAAGCUCAACAAGACUUAACCGAUAGGAGUAAGGACUACUCCUCCUUCUAGACAUGCAAGGCUUCUUGGCUGAGGGUUUGUUGACCAAAAACACUAAGUAACCCUAUUUCAAGUUUUAGCUCCGGUUCUAGGUUCAUUUACCAGUCUAGGUUGUGCAACCUAUUCUAAGCAAUCAUAGAACCAAACAAGAUGUGUAGAUAUAACAACAAACAUUGCCAUCAUCAGAUUCCUCAUUUACUCAGGGUGACAUAGCGAUCAAGCAAUCUCAAGCUGUGAGAG